AUGGCGCGGUGUCACCCCGCCGCCACCUCAGCCAAGCGCCGCGCCGCCCCUCCAAACCCUAGCCCGCCCCCUCCGCCCGCCGACGGAUUGCUUCCGCUCCUCCACGCGGCGAGCCGCGGUGACCUCCGCCUCUUCAAGAGGCUGGUGAGAGAUCUGGAUCAGGGCAGGGGCCGUCCCAGGGAGGUGGUGGAGGCGGCCAAGGACCAAGGUCUCGUGGCGCUGCACUUCGCUGCCGGGAAGGGAAGGCCACGGGUGUGCAGGUACCUGGUCGAGGAGCUAGGGGUCGAUGUGGACGCCGUCGACGAUGGAGAAUUGGGCUAUAGGAAACUGUAUGUUGACCAGCAAUUUACAACGGUCAUGCUAUUUUGUGAAUCAGAUGCAUAUAUACAUGUUUUAGUGUGUCUGUUUACUCAUUUUAGUCCGCAUGCAUGUACUUCAUACUGA
rnacentral:rRNA from 1 species